rnacentral:tRNA from 1 species
GGGGGGUAGCUCAGCUGGGAGAGCGCCGCGUUCGCAAUGCGGAGGUCGAGGGUUCGAUCCCCUUCCUCUCC